CCUACGGGAGGCAGCAGUGAGGAAUAUUGGUCAAUGGGCGCGAGCCUGAACCAGCCAAGUCGCGUGAGGGAAGACGGUCCUAUGGAUUGUAAACCUCUUUUGUCGGGGAGCAAAAGACGCCACGCGUGGCGUUCCGAGAGUACCCGACGAAAAAGCAUCGGCUAACUCCGUGCCAGCAGCCGCGGUAAUACGGAGGAUGCGAGCGUUAUCCGGAUUUAUGGGGUUUAAUGGGUGCGCAGGCGGAAGGUCAAGUCAGCGGUAAAAUUGAGAGGCUCAACCUCUUAGAGCCGUUGAAACUGGUUUUUUUGAGUGAGUGAGAGGUAUGCGGAAUGCGUGGUGUAGCGGUGAAAUGCAUAGAUAUCACGCAGAACUCCGAUUGCGAAGGCAGCAUACCGGCGCUCAACUGACGCUCAUGCACGAAAGUGUGGGUAUCGAACAGGAUUAGAUACCCGAGUAGUC
rnacentral:rRNA from 1 species